AGAGUUUGAUCAUGGCUCAGGACGAACGCUGGCGGCGUGCUUAACACAUGCAAGUCGAACGGUGAAGCCCUUCGGGGUGGAUCAGUGGCGAACGGGUGAGUAACACGUGGGCAAUCUGCCUGCACUCUGGGACAAGCCCUGGAAACGGGGUCUAAUACCGGAUAUGACCUUCUUCCGCAUGGUUGAAGGUGGAAAGCUCC
rnacentral:rRNA from 1 species